AUUGAACGCUGGCGGCAGGCCUAACACAUGCAAGUCGAGCGGAUGAAGGGAGCUUGCUCCUGGAUUCAGCGGCGGACGGGUGAGUAAUGCCUAGGAAUCUGCCUGGUAGUGGGGGAUAACGUCCGGAAACGGGCGCUAAUACCGCAUACGUCCUGAGGGAGAAAGUGGGGGAUCCUCGGACCUCACGCUAUCAGAUGAGCCUAGGUCGGAUUAGCUAGUUGGUGGGGUAAAGGCCUACCAAGGCGACGAUCCGUAACUGGUCUGAGAGGAUGAUCAGUCACACUGGAACUGAGACACGGUCCAGACUCCUACGGGAGGCAGCAGUGGGGAAUAUUGGACAAUGGGCGAAAGCCUGAUCCAGCCAUGCCGCGUGUGUGAAGAAGGUCUUCGGAUUGUAAAGCACUUUAAGUUGGGAGGAAGGGCAGUAAGUUAAUACCUUGCUGUUUUGACGUUACCAACAGAAUAAGCACCGGCUAACUUCGU
rnacentral:rRNA from 1 species